CAGGUUUCAUGUCAUUCUCUUUCUUUAUAUUCAGUUGUUUCAGUUCUGAUUCUUCAACUUUUGAACACUUGAGAGCCAGAGUAGGAGUUUUCUGAUAAACCUUCCAUAGCAGCAGGUAUUCCACGCACAUCGACAUCAGGUUCCAGCCAGAAAUGAAUCCACAACCAAUCAUUGGGGAGCCAAAUGUCAUUAUCUGACCAACUGCCAUCGGGGCCAAGAUAUUGGUCAAUUGAUCAAUUCUUCGUAUUGUGGCAUUCAUAUCUGCCAGUUUGCUUCUGUCUUCCCCUGCAACCACAACAAUCCAGUCCCUCUGAAUUGUGAUCGCUGUGGCAGUGCUGGCCAAAUUAGCAAUAUUUGCUAUCGUGAUAACCAGGAUAUAGCACAUCGUAAGAAGCCAUCCAUGGUAUAAGGUCAAAAGCUGCGUCUUAAACAAGAAGAUAAUCAUCAGGAUAAUACCACAUAGGAUGACAGAUGCAUUCUGAACAACCAAGGAGGUCUGGGCCACUUUGAGCCUCGAGUUCUUGUCCACCCAGUCUCCAAUAAUGGC
rnacentral:lncRNA from 1 species